CUCAUUAAAUCAGUUAUAGUUUAUUUGAUGGUCUCUUUGUUCUUCUUUUUACCUACUUGGAUAACCGUGGUAAUUCUAGAGCUAAUACAUGCGCAAGGUCCCGAGCGCGGGGGAUGGGGCUUCACGGCUCUGUCCUCGCAUGCGCAGAGGGAUGUAUUUAUUAGGUUAAACAACCAGCAUUUUCAAUAUCAUCUGGUGAUUCAUAGUAACUCUUUCGGAUCGCAUUCAUG
rnacentral:rRNA from 1 species